AAUAAAUGUAACAAUGGGCUGAUUCAUAGCAUCCUGUAAUAAAAAAAAGUAUUCUUGGGUCAUAUGUAUCAGGUCAUCCUGAUAACAUAUGUCAUAUUAUAAUACUCUCUAAUACAAGAAUGUGAGAGAAGGCAGUUGCUAGAAGAUAGCUGGGAAGAAUUUUACUUCAUUUUAUUUUUUAAGAUUUUUAAAUUUUAAGUAAUCUCUAUACCCAACACAGUGCUCGAACUCACGUGUCCGAGAUCAAGAGUCAAAUGCUCCACUGACUGAGCUAGCCAGGUGCCAGCUGGGAGGGAUUUUAAAGAUAAUGAAUGAGAUCAAAAUUAAAAAGUCUUCCAGAGAAAAGUGCAACAGUUGACAACAUACUGGUUGAGUAUUUUAUCUAACACUGCUGUUCUAUUUUGCAUGCUAACAUGUGCCAAAAUAAACUGUGAGCCUAUUGAGAUGCAUAUUCCAAGGAACCCCCUGGAGAGAAAACUAAUAGAUGACCAUUCCCACCUACCUCUUCCCCCACUCCUAAUGGAAAGACCACUCAAGAAGAAACCAUGAAAAAAAACACAGUCUCACAGAAGAGGGAGCUUUUCCAGAGAGACAGAGCAUGACAGGAGGAGCAGGAGAAAGAGGAAGACACAGAAUCUGAAGCAGGCUCCAAGCUGUCAGCACAGAGCCCAGCAAUGGGCUCGAACUCACAAACAACAAGAUCAUGACCCGAGCUGAAGUCAGAGGCUUAACCGACGGAUCCACCCAGAAAGAUCUUCUGGAAAGAUGUCUGAUGAUGAUACCGACUGAAAGGAACAGAGGAAGAACACACAUUCAUCUGCUCCUACACACUGUGUACCCAAAAAGAAAGGCUCUCUCAGGCUCCGUUACAAAGUACUCUGGUACACAAAACUAGGACUUGGGACUCCUAAACAGCCUUGACCUGUGGUGCUUUUCAAAGAAGAGAAGUUGUUGAGGUUUGGAACUAAUAGAAUGUCCCAACAGAGUGGGACAGAAGUGAUAGUGCUAUGGUUAAUAAUAUAAAAUAGAACCACACUAAAAUUUAUAGAAGGUCUGAAACCUCUGUGGCUAAUUCUCAUCACCAGAUAUCUAUGAAAUCCCAGUCAUACUAGACUUAGUAUCUUAAAAUGAAAAUAAAUUACACAAACAUGUUACCGCUAAUUAUCUCCAGCUAUACACUAUAGUAAGCUUAUUAUGAUUAUGAAUUAACAAUACAGAAAAAAUUCAAUAAGAUAGGUGUGUGCAUCCUACAUUGUAACUUCUAAAUGUAAACAUCUAUGGGCAGGACAAAAACCCACAAAAAAGAAAGGAACACAAAAUCUUUAAAAUUUUCCCACUGAUCCAUCAACUGAUGAAUGGAUAAAGAAAUUGUGGUUUAUAUACACAAUGGAAUACUAUGUGGCAAUGAGAAAGAAUGAAAUAUGGCCUUUUGUAGCAACGUGGAUGGAACUGGAGAGUGUGAUGCUAAGUGAAAUAAGCCAUACAGAGAAAGACAGAUACCAUAUGGUUUCACUCUUAUGUGGAUCCUGAGAAACUUAACAGAAACCCAUGGGGGAGGGGAAGAAAAAAAAAAAAAAAAGAGGUUAGAGUGGGAGAGAGCCAAAGCAUA